rnacentral:rRNA from 1 species
UACGUAGGGUCCAAGCGUUGUCCGGAUUUAUUGGGCGUAAAGAGCUCGUAGGCGGCUCAGUAAGUCGGAUGUGAAAACUCGGGGCUCAACCCCGAGACGCCAUCCGAUACUGCUGUGGCUUGAGUCUGGUAGGGGAACACGGAAUUCCUGGUGUAGCGGUGAAAUGCGCAGAUAUCAGGAGGAACACCGAUGGCGAAGGCGGCUAUCUGGACAGAGUCUGACGCUGAGGCGCGAAAGCUAGGGGAGCAAACAGG